AGCGAACGCUGGCGGCAUGCCUAACACAUGCAAGUCGCACGGGGGGGCUUCGGCCUCCCAGUGGCGGACGGGUGAGGAACGCGUAGGGACCUGUCGAGGGGUGGGGGAUAACCGCGGGAAACUGCGGCUAAUACCGCAUGACGCCGCGGCGUGACAGCCGGGGCCAAAGGCGAAAGCCGCCCGCCGAGGGGCCUGCGUCCGAUUAGCUGGUUGGCGGGGUAGCGGCCCACCAAGGCGUCGAUCGGUAGCUGGUCUGAGAGGUUGAUCAGCCACACCGGGACUGAGACACGGCCCGGACUCCUACGGGAGGCAGCAGUGGGGAAUAUUGGACAAUGGGCGCAAGCCUGAUCCAGCAAUGCCGCGUGGGUGAAGAAGGUCUUCGGAUUGUAAAGCCCUUUCGGCGGGGACGAUGGUGACGGUACCCGCAGAAGAAGCCCCGGCUAACUUCGUG
rnacentral:rRNA from 1 species